rnacentral:rRNA from 1 species
UACGUAGGGUGCGAGCGUUGUCCGGAAUUAUUGGGCGUAAAGAGCUCGUAGGCGGUGUGUCACGUCGUUCGUGAAAACCUGCAGCUUAACUGUGGGCGUGCGGGCGAUACGGGCAGACUGGAGUACUGCGGGGGAGACUGGAAUUCCUGGUGUAGCGGUGGAAUGCGCAGAUAUCAGGAGGAACACCGGUGGCGAAGGCGGGUCUCUGGGCAGUAACUGACGCUGAGGAGCGAAAGCGUGGGGAGCGAACAGG